rnacentral:rRNA from 1 species
CACGUAAAGGUAGGGGGACGUCUCAGUGGGACUGCCGGCGACAAGCCGGGGAGGGUGGGGACGGACGUCAAGUCAUCAUGGCCCUCAUGUCCAGGGCGACACACGUGCUACAAUGGCCGGCACAACGGGAAGCGACGGCGCGAGUCGUAGCGGAUCCCUCAAAGCCGGUCCCAGUUCGGAUUGCAGUCUGCAACUCGACUGCAUGAAGCCGGAAUCGCUAGUAAUCGUGGAUCAGCCAAGCCGCGGUGAAUACGUUCCCGGGCCUU